rnacentral:lncRNA from 1 species
AGAUCAUUCGAAUCAUGCUCAACUCAAUCAGUCCUGUGACUCCUCACUAGGACUACCCUGGCCAAGGUUUUGCUAAAUUGAAACACGACUGUACACAGCUCCUGAACUAGAGUGGUCAAUCCCAUCUUGACACACGCACCGACAAGUCAAGUACUUGACUACACCCAGCAGCCUUCCGUCACUGAAUUAGAAAUUCAGGUAGUCCAGUGCCUAAGUGCAGUGAGUUGCUUG